rnacentral:rRNA from 1 species
CCUACGGGUGGCAGCAGUGAGGAAUAGUGGUCAAUGGGCGCGAGCCUGAACCAGCCAAGUAGCGUGAAGGAGGACUGCCCUACGGGUUGUAAACUUCGUUUAUAAAGGAAUAAAGUGAGGCACGUGUGCCUUGUUGUAUGUACUUUAUGAAUAAGGAUCGGCUAACUACGUGCCAGCAGCCGCGGUAAUACGGAGGAUCCGAGCGUUAUCCGGAUUUAGUGGGUUUAAUGGGCUCGUAGAGGGUUUGUUAAGUCAGUUGUGCAAGUUUGCGGCUCAACCGGAAACUUGCAAUUAAUACUGGCAGCCUUGUGUACAGUUGAGGUAGGCGGACUUCGUGUUGUAGCGGUGA